UACGAAGGGGGCUAGCGUUGCUCGGAAUCACUGGGCGUAAAGCGCACGUAGGCGGCUUUCUAAGUCAGGGGUGAAAUCCUGGAGCUCAACUCCAGAACUGCCUUUGAUACUGGGGAGCUCGAGUCCGGAAGAGGUGAGUGGAACUCCGAGUGUAGAGGUGAAAUUCGUAGAUAUUCGGAAGAACACCAGUGGCGAAGGCGGCUCACUGGGCCGGUACUGACGCUGAGGUGCGAAAGCGUGGGGAGCAAACAGG
rnacentral:rRNA from 1 species